rnacentral:rRNA from 1 species
GCAAGUCGAGGGGUAACAGAGGUGCUUGCACUUGCUGACGACCGGCGCACGGGUGCGUAACGCGUAUACAAUCUGCCUUGUACUGAGGGAUAGCCUUUGGAAACGAAGAUUAAGACCUCAUGGUAUUACCGUAUUGCAUAAUAUGGUAAUUAAAGGUUACGGUACAAGAUGAGUAUGCGUCCUAUUAGCUAGAUGGUGUGGUAACGGCACACCAUGGCUACGAUAGGUAGGGGCCCUGAGAGGGGGAUC